rnacentral:lncRNA from 1 species
GACAUGUUUACAUGUUCUCACCCCCCAACCAUUUUUCAGGUAUUGCAGACGGUAAAGGUUGAGACGAGAUGUGAGACACGUUCGUAGUGGUUGAUAGAGCUUCCGAUCCGGUUUGUUUGGUUUAGUUGCUACCCUAUUUAUUUCUGAUGAUAUGACUUAGAUAUAUUGGUUCAGUUGGUUUUCGUUUACUUGGAUAAAUGUGAUUUUGAUAAAUGAAUUAAAGAACUUAUGGCUUUCUUUGAAAUGAAAACGAUUUUCUAUCCCUCGUAGUAGUGUGUUUUAAAGAAAAAGGAUUUUCGUGUGGGAAACAGGUUUCAAAAGGUUUUCUCGUGGUUUUCAUAAAUUAGUAUUUCAAAAUAAGUUUCCGGGUAGGAAACAUUUUAAAUUAAUAGUUAUGGAUUUCUAAAUAAACUCUGAACGUGAAUCUGUUGCAGAAUGGUGUAUGAAUGUAUGAAUGUUGAAUGUUUGUAUAUUUAGCAAUAGUGAUAUAUAUAUAUAUAUAUAUA